rnacentral:rRNA from 1 species
CAAUACAUAAGUAACCUGCCCUAGACAGGGGGAUAACUAUUGGAAACGAUAGCUAAGACCGCAUAGGUACGGACACUGCAUGGUGACCGUAUUAAAAGUGCCUCAAAGCACUGGUAGAGGAUGGACUUAUGGCGCAUUAGCUGGUUGGCGGGGUAACGGCCCACCAAGGCGACGAUGCGUAGCCGACCUGAGAGGGUGACCGGCCACACUGGGACUGAGACACGGCCCAG